rnacentral:rRNA from 1 species
CGGCGGCGUGGAUAAGACAUGCAAGUCGAGCGCUGAUUACAGAGUAGCAAUAUUCUGUAGUCGGAGCGGCGCAAGGGUGCGUAACACGUGGGUAAUCUGCCAUGAAGUUUGGGAUAACUUGCUGAAAGGCGAGCUAAUACCGGAUGUGAAAGUUGACCGGCAUCGGUUGGUUUUCAAAGCUGGGGACCGUAAGGCCUGGCGCUUCAUGAUGAGCCCGCGGCCUAUCAGCUAGUUGGUAAGGUAACGGCUUACCAAGGCUAAGACGGGUAGCUGGUCUGAGAGGACGACCAGCCACACUGGAACUGAGACACGGUCCAGACACCUACGGGUGGCAGCAGUCGAGAAUUUUUCACAAUGGGCGCAAGCCUGAUGGAGCGACGCCGCGUGGGGGAUGAAUGGCUUCGGCCCGUAAACCCCUGUCAUUUGCGAUCAAACCUUGUUAUUUAAAAGAUGACGAGCUGAUAGUAGCGAAAGAGGAAGGGACGGCUAACUCUGUGCCAGCAGCCGCGGUAAUACAGAGGUCCCAAGCGUUGUUCGGAUUCACUGGGCGUAAAGGGUGCGUAGGUGGCGGGGUAAGUCGGAUGUGAAAUCUCGGAGCUCAACUCCGAAACUGCAUUGGAAACUACCUUGCUUGAGGGUUGGAGGGGGGACUGGAAUACUUGGUGUAGCAGUGAAAUGCGUAGAUAUCAAGUGGAACACCAGUGGCGAAGGCGAGUCCCUGGACAACUCCUGACACUGAGGCACGAAAGCUAGGGGAGCAAACAGGAUUAGAUACCCUGGUAGUCC